ACCAAGGAAGUGUUACAGUUACUUUGUUUUUGUUUUGGUUUGGUUUUUAAUCACAUUCUUCUUUCUAUUUAAUUCAAGUUUGUUUUUAAAGGAAAAAUUUAAAAAACACUGAUGAAAGAUAUUUCCAGAUGAAGGAACUGCCAGACUUUGUGUCUCCAACCAUUUUACAUCUAUCCAGAAUUCACAAGAAAUGAUUAUCAUCAAUGAGUUAAGAAACAACAACAACAACAAAAACAGAACUGAAGGAAAUCAUUAGCAAUGGCUCCUAGAAAUCACCAGAUAAGGAGUUUCAUAUCCUCUGUAUGGCAUAUCUUCAGGUUGUAGCACAUCAGUAGCAUGGAUCUCAACCAAAGAAAGAUCAGACAUUUGUGAGUGAAUGGAAAAUGAAGGACAGAGCUGCAGAGAACAUUUUGCUCUUCUACAGCAUUUGGCUGCGAUGUUGGUCAGGGACGUUAUAGCUCCUCCAUGUGUUUUUACCCCAUCAGAAGUUCUCGUUUCCGGAAGUUUCUUGAAGAUAUGCAUAACUCAUAAAGUAGAGUGCAGCUUUGGAAGAAUGAGUUGACACAGACAAGGUAGCAUUCAAAAACUACAACUGAAUUAUACUGCUGCUGGAGAAAUGUGAGCCAAAAAGAAUUCAUCUUGAUAUUCCGAUCAUAAGCAGUGAAUGCAGAGUUUGCUGGUUGGUAAAGGCACCUUGACUAAUGCUAGGUGAGACCCAGGGCUAGGUGCAGCAAUGAGACUGGAGUGUCACUGAUGUUGCAGAAAGGUUCAGAAGAGCUCCAGGAUUUGACUGGAAGAAUCUCAGGUAAAGAGAGGCUUUAGAAGCAUUACCUGUGCAAAAUUUAGAGCUUACUGUGCCUGGACCUGAGAUACAGAAGAGGAAAAAUUACAAACCCAAGAGGGUUGGAGCAAGAUGAAUCUGACUGCAUUUUAUCUCUGUGUUAUUUAACUCUAGGUAAUGGGCCUCCUUGAAAGCUGAAAAGGGCCAUGCUGAGAAUGCAGGGAAAGCGAUACUGAAGACAAGGAUGUUUGUGGGGCAAGAAGCAAGGCAUACCAUAAUAUUACUCCCAUUCUCCUUGGACCACCGAUUUCAAGGAUGUUCGAAGCAAGAUACAGCUGCCUCUCCGCAGUCUGUUCUACAGGCAUUUAGAAGAAAUGGAAAGAAGGAAUACCCCUGAGGUGGAGGUCAUCCCUGCUAGAUCACAUUUGCCUGCUCUGAUUCACUCUCAGGAGGAGCACUGCAAAGAGAAGGUACCUCUUCAUACAGAUCUUGCUGGAUACAACUGGAUCAAUUGAACUUAUGUGAGAGAGAGGUACAAAGGAAGUAAAUGCAGAUACCCAGCCAAAGCCAAAGGAACUAAAGCUCACUGUAUCAUUAGGAGGAUGAAUCCCUCCUGUUGCUUUAUUUCUUUUCCAUUUGUUUGUUUUUUCUUUUUGUCUUUUUUGUUUGUUUUUGUCUUUUCUCUUUUUGGUAACUAAAAUCCAGAUCUACUAGGACACAUUUUGAAGAAAAAAAUGUUGGAAUGAUGGGGAAUAUAUCCAUCAACAAGAUGAGGAAAAUAGGAUCAAAGCCCAGGAAAGAGGAAGUCAGCUGGGAGGACUGUGCAGGUUAAUGUAGAGAUAAAGCAAAUCUUCUGAACGUUUGCCCCUAGCUGGAGCCCUGAGAGACAGGAGAGUAUACAUGCAUUAGACAUCUACUCUACCCGGCUGAUUUCAGGCAAUGAUUUGGAACAGAAGAUAUGAAGAUAUGAGCUCUGCCCUGCUUGGCUUGACACAGAAAAGAGAUUUUCUGUUGAUAUCACUGUUGGGUAGAACUGGUGCUUGACGUUUUCAUUAAAAUAACAGAUACAGCUCUACUUGCUGCUGUAGCUGCAAACUCCCUUGUUUAUAUUGCCUCUGUUUUACUUUCAGGGCAGGAACAUCCCCUUGGUCCUCAGACUGUUUAGAUUCAGGGAAGCAGUGAAUGUCAGUGUGUGUGUAUGUAUUCAGUUCCCUCUCUGUACAUUUAGAAAUUGUAAAGGGAAAUUUAUUGUGAAGAGGGAAAAAAUAUAGGACUGGUUUCUGUCCCUGUGCUAAUAUCAUGGUAUUAACAUAGGUGAAUUGCUGCUGGUUGAUAUGAGCCUGGCUUCCAAGAGGACAUUCUUGUAGCACCUUGAUUGCCUGGGCCACCCCUCCAAGGAGGCUCAGCGGGCAGCCUCAGCCUUUCUUGUUUGCUGUUUUGUUGUUUCAGUUCUCAGCUGGAGAUUAUUUCUUCUUUCUGUCUCCUCUUGAUACAUGAAUGUGCUGUGUCAGGCUUGCCUUCAGGUCAGUGUCCUGUGCAGGCCUCGCCAUGGUGUCAGCAGUAAGCAGAUCUGAGAAGGCCAAAGGCAGGGCAUCAAUGGAAAAUGAGCCUAACAAAUGGGAAGUCAGGCUGGAUGGCCAGCCAUAAUGUCUUUCCUCUCACGAAACAUGACAGAAAGGCACAACAGAAAAGGCUGCUUUUCCUUAUCUUUAGCCUUUCACCUGGGUUUGUUUUUUCCUCUGUCCUAAUGGUUCCUUGUCAGCUUUUUCUGUGUCCUGACUUCCUUUCCCCUGAGCCUCUCUUGAGAGGCAGAGGAACAGGGUCUGAGCAAGGCAACAGUGGGCAACAAGCUAUAAAUUUGACAGAUUAUGAACGUGCUUCAGUGUGCUGUGUAACCUGUAAAUCAAAACCCAUUUUAAGACCAGCAAUGAAUCCCUGUAUAUCAAAAAGCAGGAGAUGUUAGAAUAGGCAGUUGCUGCCUCUUACAAUAGCUCCUCCAGAAACACAUUGUGCAGAGGGUCUUGUAUUCAUCAUUAAAAUUGUUUUCUUUCUUCCAUUAGCUGCUAUGCAGCAUGUAUGUAUUAGAAGUCAUGGCUAGUAUGACUUCAUUGAUAAAGCUCCAUUGUAUCCAACAUGAAAAGAGAAUAAAAGAGGUAAUAUUCUCUGGCAUAUCAUGUGGACUCUCUUUUUACAGCAUGGACUUCAAGGGACAGAAAUGUCUCUCGUUAGGUUUUCUUCUCUGCUACUGAAAUCCUGGUGAAAUCCAAGCUCACAAAUUGAGCUUAAAACUGAAAGG
ensembl:lncRNA